rnacentral:rRNA from 1 species
GACGAACGCUGGCGGCGUGCUUAACACAUGCAAGUCGAACGGAAAGGCCCCUUUCGGGGUACUCGAGUGGCGAACGGGUGAGUAACACGUGAGUAACCUGCCCUUGACUUCGGGAUAACUUCAGGAAACUGGGGCUAAUACCGGCAAGGAAUCCUUGCUCCAUGGUGGGUGUUGGAAAGCUUCGGCGGUUUUGGAUGGACUCGCGGCUUAUCAGCUUGUUGGUGGGGUAGUGGCUUACCAAGGCUUGGACGGGUAGCCGGCCUGAGAGGGCGACCGGCCACAUUGGGACUGGGGUACGGCCCGGACUGAUACGGGAGGCAGCGGUGGGAAAUAUUGCACAAUGGGCGGAAGCCUGAUGCAGGAACGCCGCGUGCGGGAUGACGGCCUUCGGGGUGUAAACCGCUUUCAGCAGGGGCGAAGCUUUUGUGACGGUACCUGAAGAAGAAGCACCGGCUAACUACGUG